UACGUAGGAGGCGAGCGUUGUCCGGAAUUACUGGGCGUAAAGAGCGCGUAGGCGGGCCGUCAAGUCAGGGGUGAAAGCCCCCAGCUCAACUGGGGAAGUGCCUCUGAUACUGGCGGCCUCGAGCGAGGUAGGGGCGUGCGGAACUUCCGGUGGAGCGGUGAAAUGCGUAGAUAUCGGAAGGAACACCGGUGGCGAAAGCGGCGCGCUGGACCUCUUCUGACGCUGAGGCGCGAAAGCCAGGGGAGCGAACGGG
rnacentral:rRNA from 1 species